AUGAACCAGUCGCUUAAGAAGACAGAUCUCAUCUGGAGAGAUGUCAAAUUCACUUGGAUACUUGCAUUGGAGUUCCAAGUGUUCCCUGUACUUUCAGAGCACGUGUAUUUAUCAGAUCACACAAGUGUUCAGCGCAAUACAACCUUUCCAAAUCCACACAUAGCCCAAGGGAGGGAGGGACGGGGAGAGAGAGAGAGAGAGAGAGAGAGAGAGCAAGGUAACUAUUUUGACCUCCCAAAAUUUGUAGAUGAAAGCAUAACUGAAUUUACAUUUCCUAAUGUGGACCAAAAAAAUAUGAGAAUACCAAAAGGAUUACCAGUUCUUCAAUUUUCCAGUUUUUUUAAUAGACUAUGA
rnacentral:rRNA from 1 species